rnacentral:rRNA from 1 species
AUUGAACGCUGGCGGCAUGCCUUACACAUGCAAGUCGAACGGCAGCACGGGUGCUUGCACCUGGUGGCGAGUGGCGAACGGGUGAGUAGUACAUCGGAACGUACCUUAUCGUGGGGGAUAACGCAGCGAAAGCCGUGCUAAUACCGCAUACGCCCUGAGGGGGAAAGCGGGGGAUCGCAAGACCUCGCGCGAUUAGAGCGGCCGAUGCCUGAUUAGCUAGUUGGUGGGGUAAAAGCCCACCAAGGCGACGAUCAGUAGCUGGUCUGAGAGGACGAUCAGCCACACUGGGACUGAGACACGGCCCAGACUCCUACGGGAGGCAGCAGUGGGGAAUUUUGGACAAUGGGGGCAACCCUGAUCCAGCAAUGCCGCGUGAGUGAAGAAGGCCUUCGGGUUGUAAAGCUCUUUUGUCAGGGAAGAAACACCGGCUCUAACACAGUCCGGGAAUGACGGUACCUGAAGAAUAAGCACCGGCUAACUACGUGCCAGCAGCCGCCGUAA